GACGUAGGAGGCGAGCGUUGUCCGGAUUCAUUGGGCGUAAAGAGCACGCAGGCGGUUUGGCAAGUCGGACGUGAAAAUCCGGGGCUCAACCCCGGACCUGCAUCCGAAACUGCCCGACUAGAGGUAGGUAGGGGAGAUCGGAAUUCCUGGUGUAGCGGUGAAAUGCGCAGAUAUCAGGAGGAACACCGGUGGCGAAGGCGGAUCUCUGGGCCUUACCUGACGCUCAGGUGCGAAAGCGUGGGGAGCGAACAGG
rnacentral:rRNA from 1 species